CCUGCCAUGAUUCAGCACCAGCAGAAGAAGCUGACAUGCCUGAAAAUUUCAAUUUCUGAGAACAACCUCUCUGCUAAUGUGAACUUGAGUUCUUGCCCUGAAUUGUGGUGCUAAAGUGUCUCAGGGAAAUGACACUCCACAGGACCAUAGAACUAUCUCAGCAAACCACUGACUGGUUUAAAGAGGGGAAAUUCUGUGGAAGCACCCUUGUUUGGUUCCUAGAAUUUGUUUUGAUCGGCUCCCAAACAUGAGGGGAUACGAAGGAGACAGUGACCAGAUAACUUAUUAAAACCAAGGAGCUAUAUCCUGACUACUAUAA